AACGAACGCUGGCGGCAUGCCUAACACAUGCAAGUCGAACGAGACCUUCGGGUCUAGUGGCGCACGGGUGCGUAACGCGUGGGAACCUGCCCUUAGGUUCGGAAUAACUCCCCGAAAGGGGUGCUAAUACCGGAUAAUGUCUUCGGACCAAAGAUUUAUCGCCUUUGGAUGGGCCCGCGUUGGAUUAGCUAGUUGGUAGGGUAAAAGCCUACCAAGGCGACGAUCCAUAGCUGGUCUGAGAGGAUGAUCAGCCACACUGGGACUGAGACACGGCCCAGACCCCUACGGGGGGCAGCAGUGGGGAAUAUUGGACAAGGGGCGAAAGCCUGAUCCAGCAAGGCCGGGUGAGUGAUGAAGGCCUUAGGGUUGUAAAGCUCUUUUACCCGGGAUGAUAAUGACAGUACCGGGAAAAUAAGCCCCGGCUAACCCCGU
rnacentral:rRNA from 1 species